CCGGAUUCUGUAGCCCAGACAGGCGGCCCGGGCGGCGUCGCGUGCAGGGACACGCCCAGCGGGAGUCGCCGGUGGGGCGGAGGAAGCCCGGGCCCCUGGUCUCGGGGGCCGAGUCGGAGCGGAGCUGUUCCUCGGGGAGACAGAAAGUCGCCCUCUUGGGGCAGCUCGUCCCAAAGGGUUUCCUUGAAAGAAUCCGAGAGCGCAGUUCCUGACCGAGGAAAUCUCUGUUGAGCUCUGGAAGCCGCCCCCCGAAAAAGAUGCCGGCCUUCCACAGUUUGUUUCCCCUGGUUUCUCUCGUGCUCAUCUACUGGGUCAGCGUCUGCUUCCCUGUGUGUGUGGAGGUGCCCUCGGAGACAGAGGCCGUCCAGGGCAACCCCAUGAAGCUGCGCUGCAUCUCCUGCAUGAAGAGGGAGGAGGUGGAGGCCACCACUGUGGUGGAGUGGUUCUACAGACCCGAGGGCGGUAAAGACUUCCUUAUCUUCGAGUACCGCAAUGGCCACCAGGAGGUGGAGAGCCCCUUCCAGGGUCGCCUGCAGUGGAACGGGAGCAAGGACCUACAGGACGUGUCUAUCACUGUGCUCAACGUCACUCUGAAUGACUCCGGCCUCUACACCUGCAACGUGUCCCGGGAGUUUGAGUUUGAGGCACAUCGGCCCUUCGUGAAGACCACACGGCUGAUCCCUCUCCGAGUCACUGAGGAGGCCGAAGAAGACUUCACCUCGGUGGUCUCGGAAAUCAUGAUGUAUAUCCUUCUAGUCUUCCUCACCUUGUGGCUGCUCAUUGAGAUGAUAUAUUGCUACCGAAAGGUCUCAAAGGCUGAAGAGGCAGCCCAAGAAAAUGCGUCUGACUACCUUGCCAUCCCAUCAGAGAACAAGGAGAACUCUGCAGUACCCGUGGAGGAGUGAGGCGCCGUGACCUGAGGUCCAUUUCUACUCUGCUCAGUGUGCCCGCCCUCAAGGUGGCCUGCACACGGAGGGACUGGCUAUCUCAAGUUCAGUGAUGUCAACAGCAUCAGGAGGGUCCCCCAGUGGCCCCAUCACUUCCUUCCUGCAUCAUCUUUCUACACAGCCAUCACGCAUCCACCCACCUCUAAGCUUUCCCUGCUGACUUCUUGACUCUAUCAGAACUCUACACACCGUAAGACUUGGCCAGAACUAAGGAGCCAACAUUUCUACACAGAUUCAGCCUCACCCUGGCCUGGCUUUCAAAGCAAGCAGCUCCCAUGCCUACUGGAUUUCUCCUCUAUACUCCAAGUAGACGCUGUACAAGUGCCGGCAGUAGCUAGCUCGUUGGAAUUGGCUCAUUCUCCAUUACUGCAAGAGAAUGUCUUACUAGUGGGAACAAGCAAUUAGCUGAGUCACACCAAAAGCAUGUCAUGUAAUUGAACUCUUUGAAGUCAGUUUUUUUCAAGUUCCUUGGCCCACGAGCUAGAGCACCAGAGAAAGCUUGCUUCUCUAGAUUCUCCAGUGACACAGAUCCUUAAGUGCAGACUGACAUGCUCUCUGGAGCUUAGGACGAGAUCCCCAUAGGCCUCUGAGGCCUGCAUUGGAUGCAGUCUGGAGAAGCAAGGGCAAGAGACUUGGGAAGGACCAAGGACAAUUUCAGUGACUCAAAAAAGCCAUACGUGUUCCUGAUCGUAUUGGGAUGAUGUGUGUGUGUCCUUCCUAGAGCACAUAUUGCCUGUGGUCUGGGACUGGAAUUCCUAAAUUCUUCCUUUCAAAAUAUCUGUUGUUCAGUAUUAUUCUGCGUUUUACGGGAGGCAUCUGAGACUCACACAGGGCUCAACUGGGUAAGAAACUUAAGUGAACAAAGGGGAGCAGUGAUAGGCUCUGGGUGCGGCCCAGUUUGCUCCCUGAGUUUAGGGAUUUGUUUUGGAAAAGACUUUGACCUUGAGCUUGGCUGUGGCCACUCCUCGAGCAGAAGCACAAAUGUGGGGAGAGUGAUCCAACUGGGUAUAACGGUGACAAGUCCCAGGAACCAGAAGCUGGCCAAGAGAGCAGAGAGGAGGAUGAAAGGUAGACGUGAAGAGUUUCCUAUUAAAGUCUGUGAACCUGAAAUGUCUUUCAGAACCAGAUGACACCAUUCAAACCGAGAGCAGUGCCUGCGAAGCUGGGUGGGUCGGCACAUGUGUACAGCAUGAGAGGCAGUGGGGGUGCGUCAUGAGCCCGGCCUGGGAAGAUGAGCAACUCAGAGACAACCUGUCUCAAAUUUUUAAAAAACAAAAAAGGCUAGGGAUUAGGGAUGGAGCUCAGUGCAAAUCCCUAGGAGAAGAGACAGACAGAUAGAAAGAAAGGUUUUUUAGUCUGAGGUAGAUGGUGAGCAGAGUUAAGGGAGAAAGAUCGUGGCUUCUAAAUACCUUGCCUAUGAAUCUGUAAUGGUCACAGGUGUUUGUUUGUUUUCCUCCUAGGUUUAGAGAGAACAGAGAAACAAUGAAAAAAUUUUGGUGACAUUUUCAUUUUAAUUAAAGACUGGGCCAAGUACAGUAUCCUUCAGCACCUAAUGAUAAGUAAAAAUAGGAAGAUAAACGGACUAGGAUUCAAUAAAAGGAACGUUCCUCAGAUCUGGGGAAAAGUAUGGGGACGAUGGCUCUAUGUUGGCUUCGGAUUCCACCUGACAGGUUCAUUUUUCUGCAUCUCUUCCAUCUCUGGGGCCAUGUUUGAAACAAGAUCCUUAACAGCUUUUGAAGAAUUCCAUUUUCUUAAAAAAAUAUUUGCCGUAAAUUCAAGACUUCUUGUUCGGAAUUUUCCAUACUGUUCUUCUGAAAUAGGGGAGGAAAUAUGGGGCAUUUUUCUGACUUUAAAGAACACAGGCCUGAGUUAGUGGGAGGCUUCCCCAGCCGCCAGGCUGGCUGAUGCCCAGCUUGCAGAAGUAGCAAGUGGAUGACACCCCUAAUGCAUAACCAUAGAGUAUGCAUGGAUGGUUUUUUUCUUUUCUUUUUAAAUAAGCUAACUCAGAUGUUUUCUGGGUUAUUUUUAAUGAAGCUGGAUGAUGCUGGUGAUUUAUCCUUUACAAAUCAUCUUCUCUCUUCUCUUCUUUUUUCUAACUUUUCAUCUCUUCUCAUCCUGAUGUUUUCAUUACAGCUAUAGGACUUGCAAAGGAUUUUCAUGUCAGUUGUUUCAUUUCUCCUCCACAGCUGAUCUAGUGAAGUGAGCUUUAUUAACACCCAGUGAAGAAAUGGAGGCUCUCUGACAUGAGGAAGCUUUAUCAAAUUACCACCAGAUCAGCAGAGAGCUAGAAUAUGGGUCUUCUGACUUCUAUUCCAGUAUCUUCCCACAUAGACCAUAUCUGCUUCCUUUCUUAAUUUUCCUCCACCUCUUCACUUCUGUUGCUUCUUUGAUGUUCACAAUCCUCUCUCAGCUCCCACUUUCUUCCUUCUCAACCCUUUUGCUUCUUGGUGGAUGCUAGAAAUGUGCAUCCUAUUCUAGUUCUUUUUCAUCAUUAUUUCUCCAGAAACACAAUUAAACUCCUCGCUGGGAGGCUUGGUCAUGACUCUAAAUGCACAGGGUGCUGUGAUCACCAGCUUACUUAAAAUCCCUGCCCACCUUGCUUCUCCCCAUAACCAAGACAAGACCCGGGCUAAACACGUGUAGCACUGGAAGCUUUACCUGGUGUGCUGUUGCUUAUUAAAGGGCUUAGAAGAGUUCUCAAGGGCUAUACUCACUUUGGAAACCCCAUCUGUUGUCUUGGUGCUGUGUAUUUCCCAUGACGGAUGCUCAGUAAUGCAGUUCACUAACAGCCAAGCUAUGCUGGGUCUGAUUUUCCCUAUCUUGCUGCUAACAGCUAUGAGCUUGAUCACUUGACUCAGUGGUCCUGAAAGCACCUUGCCCUUCUGACCUUGCUGUCAGCUCAGUCUCAAAGGAAAGCCCCAAGCCUGUGUGGAAAUCCUUGGACAACCAGUGCCUGUUCCUACCCAGCCUUCAUCUUCAUGGUCUGCUGAACAGCAUUAUGCUUUGGUUUCUCCGUUCCCAAACAUCUAGACCUUCGUUGAGGCUGUUUGCUCCUUAGAUGUCAAACCAGAGAUAUUAGCAGGAAAGGAGUUUUUCAAAGCAGGAAUAUACUGGGAAUGUGUCGUGAAUGGUUUCAAAGGAGACCGUAAUGCCCUCUUCUCCCAACUACUACAGCAAAAUGCAAACUAUGAGCUAGGUGUGCUGGCUACUAGAGAAUAAAGCAGGUGGGCCUCUUGCGCCCAUGAACUUGAAACCAACCUGGAUAGUGAGGCUCCAUCACACAUGCACACACUACACUUUUCUUAAAAUCUGUGAAUUCACUUAACAUAAAUCGAAGGGAAAGGCUGUGUGAUUGUAUCUUUACAGUGUGAAAGAAAAACAUGAGCCAUGUCAGGCGUAGUAGUGUAUAUAUGUAAUCCCAGUGCUUGGGAGGCUAAGGCAGGAGGACUGCCAUGAGUUUGAGGCCAGCUUGGGCUAUAUAGUGAGUUAAGUCCAGGCUGAACUACAUAGUGAGACCCUGUCUCAAGAAAGAAGACCAAAGAAAAGAGCUAGAUAUAUUUGAAAUAUACCUUCUUUCCCUCUUCCCAAUUUUGCAUGAAAAUGGAAAAACAGGUUAACAGGAGGAAAAAAGCCUUCCCCUCACCUUUUUGUAAAUGACAAAGCCUGAACUCAGUGAACUCACCUGAUGUCCACAAGUGUAUCUGUCUGAUUAAUUCUCGGUGUGCUUGCUUAUCCACCUGAUGGUUCACUUUCCAAACGUCUUGCAGCACACCUAGAAACCACGUGGCCCCCAUGAUCUUAUGCCUGAAAAAUGGCAUCACUCAGUCCUCCGUCCCUAAAAGCUAACACGGUGGACAUGUAGUUUAGCUCAGCCCGUUUCCUCUGCCUGGAGUGUGUUAUGAUUCCAACUCUGGUCUCUUUGUAGGCCAGCUAAACACCAGAGCCAGUACUGCUCUGUCUUUUCUCUUCCCACCAGGCCAGAGCUGCAACGCCUGGGCAGUAUGUGUAAAAGGCAGGCAGACAGAAGAAUUUGUGCUUAUGAAAUGAAAUGCCACCAACCACUUAGCAAAUGCCUAGUCUUGUGACAGAUGGAACAAUGUCACCUUCACAUUGCAUUUUCGUGAUCUUCUACAGCCAGUCUUUUAUUGAACUAUAGAAAUGCUCUUCCUGACCACCCAAGACCUCCACAGCCUAAUACCUGUAUGUACUGUUUUUCAGUAAAUCCCUAGUUCCUGUCAAUAAAGUGUCUCUAAAAACCA